rnacentral:rRNA from 1 species
ACGAGAGGACCGAGUUGGACAAACCUCUAGUGUACCUGUUGUAGUGCCAACUGCACCGCAGGGUAGCUAUGUUUGGAUGAGAUAAGCACUGAAAGCAUCUAAGUGCGAAACUCGCCUCAAGAUGAGAUUUCCUUUAAGGGUCGUUGAAGACUACGACGUUGAUAGGCUGCAGGUGUAAAGACAGUAAUGUCAAAGCCGAGCAGUACUAAUUACCCGUAAGCUUUCUAA